GGGCUUGACAUCCCACGAACCUGCCCGAAAAGGUGGGGUGCCCGCAAGGGAGCGUGGAGACAGGUGGUGCAUGGCUGUCGUCAGCUCGUGUCGUGAGAUGUUGGGUUAAGUCCCGCAACGAGCGCAACCCUCACCCCUAGUUGCCACCGGGUUAAGCCGAGCACUCAAGGGGAACUGCCAGCGUCAAGCUGGAGGAAGGCGGGGAUGACGUCAAGUCAUCAUGCCCCUUACGCCCUGGGCUACACACGUGCUACAAUGGCCAGUACAAAGGGACGCGAGACUGCGAAGUGGAGCUAAUCCCAAAAAGCUGGUCUAAGUUCAGAUUGCGGUCUGCAACUCGACUGCAUGAAGGAGGAAUCGCUAGUAAUCGCGUAUCAGCCCGGCGCGGUGAAUACGUUCCCGGGCCUUGUACACACCGCCCGUCACACCACGAAAGCUGUCUGUACUCGAAGUCGCUGAG
rnacentral:rRNA from 1 species